UAGGGAAUCUUCCGCAAUGGGCGAAAGCCUGACGGAGCAACGCCGCGUGAGUGAUGAAGGUCUUCGGAUCGUAAAACUCUGUUAUUAGGGAAGAACAAAUGUGUAAGUAACUAUGCACGUCUUGACGGUACCUAAUCAGAAAGCCACGGCUAACUACGUGCCAGCAGCCGCGGUAAUACGUAGGUGGCAAGCGUUAUCCGGAAUUAUUGGGCGUAAAGCGCGCGUAGGCGGUUUUUUAAGUCUGAUGUGAAAGCCCACGGCUCAACCGUGGAGGGUUAUUGGAAACUGGAAAACUUGAGUGCAGAAGAGGAAAGUGGAAUUCCAUGUGUAGCGGUGAAAUGCGCAGAGAUAUGGAGGAACACCAGUGGCGAAGGCGACCUUCUGGUCUGUAACUGACGCUGAUGUGCGAAAGCGUGGUGAUCAAACAGG
rnacentral:rRNA from 1 species